rnacentral:rRNA from 1 species
UACGUAGGGGGCGAGCGUUAUCCGGAGUUACUGGGCGUAAAGCGUCCGCAGGCGGUCCGGUAAGUUUGAAGUGACGGUGCUCGGCUUAACUGAGUAAGUGCUUUGAAAACUGCCAGACUUGAGGGUCCGAGAGGAAGAUGGAAUUCCAGGUGGAGCGGUGAAAUGCGUAGAGAUCUGGAGGAACACCAAAGGCGAAGGCAAUCUUCUGGAGGACACCUGACGCUAAGGGACGAAAGCUAGGGGAGCGAACGGG